AAAAAAUGUAAACAUCAACAAAAACAUUCAUCUUCUACGCAGCGCUUACACGAAUCUUUCUCUAGAUCGAUAUUUACAAACAUCGUAGUACAAUAAUUCGUAGCCCUACUGGCAGCAUUCAGUAUCACAGACACAUUUGUCUAGCUUGGAACGAGAGAAAGAAACUCAUCUGGUAAACUCGCGGACGGGACAAUUACAGUAUACGUCUCUGAAUACCAUGGUCUUCUCUACGACUUGUACGAGGUUAUUCGACAGCGGUUCGAUGCAGAAGUUCAAGAUUCUUUUCCACGAUAUCGAGAUAUCAAAUCUUGAUCGAAGAGAAAUUAGUUAGAUCGAAAAUAAGGAAAGACAUAAGGACGACGAAAUUGGACAAUAAAGCUGGUUCUUGGAGUUAAACAAAACGUAUCUGUUAAACGGAAUACUGUUAGGAAAUCUGCUCGCCAAACAAGGGCACUGCCGUACUUCCGAAUGACAUCGUAGUCUGUUCUCUGUGUAACAGAUUCCCGGACUCGAGAUUGUCAAUCGAAACAGGACUUUCGACAUGCUUGUUACCACGUGACUUAAGCGUGUUCUAAGACAUGCCGACUGGAGGCAGGGAGAUGAGGAGAGAGUUGGAAACUUUGAAUCUUGCAAACAGCCUCGAGGACUUGUUCGCCACCCUCGCGAAGACUAAUAAAGCUACGAACUGCGAAUAGGGAUGGUAAAUGGCGGGAUUGCUAGAUAAGAAGUGGUCACCACCCAUUAAAAUUAUUCGGUUACUUACGAGAAUGAAACUAAAGUAAAUAUGGAAAUAAUUAAAAACAGUUCAAAGUGUACCGUCGGUCACAAAAAUUUACACACACACUCGACGAAUUUUAUGUAUCCGACUUAUCAGAAGAAAUUAAAAAUGUAGUUUGUACAAAAUCAUUUAGAGUUAUACGCAAAAUGAUCUUGCUCGAUAUAUUAUGGUAUUUCUAAAAAGAAUUAAAAAUAUAAAGCAUUUACGCACAAAAAUUUUAUCAAUGGCGAGAAUAUUGCGGGCCGUAGGCUGUUAUUGAGUCUUAUUAGGACUUCCAACGUGUUAAUAUUGAAUCUACUUGUUUCGUGACUUCAUUAGUUAGGAUCAAGACGCGUUCAAACAAAUGAGGCAGGCAUUUGAAAUCCUUACAGCGAGAAAGCAAUUAAAUUGGCGCCCCGCUGCUCUCUUCUUUCGUGAAAUCAGCCGGUGAGAAAGCGGUAAAAUUCGAUUAUUACCGAGCUUAAUGGCGCGGCUUAAACAUCUUUAGUUCAUCUUUGCCAAUGUCCAUCGCGAUUUUCGGCUUCACACUCGAAUGCUUGGCAAUUUUGUGAUCGUCAACGACUCGAAUGGAACGGCAGUUUUCACUGCCACGCAUUUGCGACGAGUUCCUUUUAAAAGUUUCCAUGGAGCAACUGGAGUAAAAAAAUCUCUUUAUGUUCGAUAUAUAAAGGGAAGGGCAAGAAUAAUCGAUAACUUUAUUCCUCUGCCACUAUAGGAUUUUGAGGAGAAAUAAAAAAUGUCUAGUGGGCGAUAUAAAGUUUUUAGAAUGGUAUUUGCGUUUAUAAAAUUAUCAGUAUAUUUGAGGAAGCCCGAGAGUAAUGAAUAAUAGGAACAGGAAAAAAAGGGAAUGGAAAUAACUAUAUGUUAGCGUCGACUCUUCUAUAGAGAUGAUGUCAAGGUCGACGCAUCGCGCGGUGUCGAAUCCAUCUCCAAGCCGGAACCAUAAAUGUGUCAUCGUGGUUUAGGAUCGAUCUCGAUAGCGGCUUUGAAUGGCGAUACUCUGAAGGACUGUUGCGGUUCUAAUUCGUGGAUGUUACAGCUAUAGUUUCGGGGUGCCGACUGUCAACAAGAGGAUCAAGAGGAUCAACUCUCUCUGUUGUUCCACGCGCCGCGCCGCCGAUGACUUGGGAACACUCGGACUCGCGGUAGAGAGCGAUAAGAGUUUUCUAGAAGGAUCUGAUCAUGGAACGCUGGCAGGCUGAUAAAUCCUCCGACAACAGAACUGACAAUGAGCGAAAAACCUCAGCACUUACCUCACAAUCUUCGCGAGAUUCUCAUCGUCCAAGAUGGAUAUAUCGUCGAAUUUCGAGAUACGUAUUGUUUAACAAGUAGAAGUUAGAAAUUAGUCAAUUAAAUAAUGAUGAUAGAAUACGUAUAAAUUUAAUUGAAAUCUGUGAAAUUAUUUAUUAAGCUUUUAGUUAAGAAUUAAAUUUUAUUAACAGUGAAAUAAUUAAUUUAAUGUUUCUGGACAAAAAAAAAAGGAUUGAUAUUUAAUGAAAAUUCUAAUAUACUUCAAUACGUACGUACAUAUAUUCACAUGAAAAAUUUCUCACAAAGUCGAUCCAUAAAUGGAUGCACUAUUUCAGAUCGCAAUUUUAUAUAAACGAAUAAAUAAUUUCACAAUUAAAAAUAAUAGUUGACGUAAAACACGAAGUUGUAUUGACCGACUUUUAUGUCUAGUCUGUAAUUAACACAGGUUUUUUUCACAGUGAAACCAGACAAUCUUAUGAUAAUUACGUACGAUUCUAUAACGAACGCGACGCAACGUCUGGAUCGACUGGAUUCAACGAAAGCAGCCUGAAUCCUGAGACUUCCUAAACUUAUUACGCUUCCUUGACGUUGAAAAUAAACGAUGAAGAGCGGCAGUCGGUAAAAACCGGGGAAUUUUUGUAAAACAAGUGGCUGCAACUCAGCUUGACGCCGCGCCGUGGAAACCGACUUCGAGGUUGCAUUAAGAGCUCCGCGGUAAAGUGUACUGUCAAUAAUUUAGAAACCCUCCGAUGAGGUUUUCUUUUCAAGCCAGCUACCGUACAGCGGAGACCAAUAGAAUGGUAAUAAGAUAAAGAAAAUGGGACGGAGGUACUCGAUUAUUGAUUGAUUGCAUAUGAGAAGGAUGAUGUGAAAGUACGGAAGUUACAGAUAUAUGAUUGAUCGGUGACAGGCUGUCGAAGACAGUUUGUAAAAAUAGAAUGUGCUAAUAAAAUCGAAUGGAUGUCAAGUGUUUUUUUAGCUCUGGUUCGAGCUUGUUCUGCGCUUGAACGCUAAUAAACUUCACAUUACUCAAUCAGCCAUUGACGUGCUGAACAAGUAUCACAUCAUAUCUACUUCUAUGUUCAUCAAAUAAAACUACGUCAAUAGCACUCAAAAGAAACAGAGGCGAAACAAGUAUGUAUAUAAGAGCGAGAAGCAUUAUACUAGUAGUACGCAAGUAGUAGCAGCCUAUCAUUAGUCAGACUGAAGAUAACAGGCACUCCUCAAACUUGGCUCGAAAUGACUCUGGCAUACGGCCAACAAAACGAACCAUGACGCGAUACAUUUCUUUCUAUUGCUUUCGUCACGAGUGUACACGCAACUGAAUCAAAUGGAUACCUUCCUACAUCUUGGCCAAUAUAAAAAAAGAGUUUACGAGUUCGAUGAACGUCGCCGAUUAUGUCUGGAGCUGAAUUAUUUAAUAAAAAUGAGAAAGUAUCGCGUGUUAAGUUGCAGUUCCGUUGUAACUUCCGGCAGACGUGUUACUACCCUUUUUCAUGCCGUUAACUCGUGCCUGAAGAGAGGUGUAGAAAAGGACAACGCGGAAAUGGAGGACGAAAACGGAGCGCGGCAAAAUUAUUACGAAAUAAUUAGAGUUACCAUUAGUCACGAGUCGUUUCAUGACUGAUCGAUGAUACGGAAAUUGAGUCAUCAAGGGACGUUCCGUGUCGUACGUGAAUAUAUAUAUAAAACUAUCAGCAGUUCCUUUACCGAUCAAUAAUCCUCCAAAGGCAAAUAAUUUAAUCGGUAGAUUUCACGUGUCGCGACAUUUUAAUUUCUAAAACGUUACAUCGUCUAGCGUUAAAUGUAAUUUUCGUUGCGUUAUUCUGUUGCAAAUUUUAACGUCCUAUUAACGCUAGAACCAAGUUCUAUUAAAUAUAGCAAGCACUUAAAAUAAUACGUACAAAGGUACCACUUGAACUGGAAAUAUCGAAAUCACGUUUUUCUGGAAUGAAUAAUACAAGGACGAGGGGAUUGCUGGUUCUCGUAAGAGUCGGACUAAAGUUUUACAAGUCGAUAAUAGAGAAUAGUUAGGGGUACAAAAAUUCUUCUCAUGCAAGAAUAUGUAACAAAUUUGAUUGUCUGUUAAAAUUGUCUGUCAUGUACUACGUCUACGUUUUUGUUAUUGAUUAUUUUAUUAUUGAUUGAAAUUUCAGCAGGAGUUCGUUUCUUGGCUAACAUUUGGCUUUAAACUGUAAACGCGACAUAGUAAAAGGUGAAGUAACGUUCAAUUUUCAACAAACAUAAAAAGCUCGUUACUACAACGACAACGGCUAACCUCAUAUUUCUUGUCGCUCCAUGCAAGAAUACCAUCAAUAACGGCGCAAUAACGUAUACUUACAUACACAGAAGGAGUAACAUACAGAAAGUGACGGAGCCAUAACUGUAUGACACGUAACUAUAGCUAUUCACCUUUUGUUCUGUUAAUUGUUACUUUCUUGUUCUUUUGGUACUUUCUUACCACGAAAAUUUUCUUCGUUUAAAUCGUACUAAUUUUUAAAUAACAUAAAUUUUGGAUAAUAGCAAUAUCUUUUCAUAUUUAUGAAAAAAGUUUGCUGAACUACAAGAUAUAAAUUUUUACUUAAACAAUAAGAAAAGAGUACUACUUGAACAUAUUUAUAUUCAAUUUCAUGACAGAUCAACGCUUAGUUUGCGAAUAAUAAAGAUAUCAGAAAUAUGUGUUUUACACAAACUCAAAAUGAUCAGAUCUCCUUAGGCUGAAAUAUUCGAAGUAUUUGGAAAAAGAGUUCUGAUAAUUUGAAGUGUAAAAAGAAGUUACAUGUGUCAAAAAAAUUAUAUAAUUGGGCAGCCAAAUAAAUAUGGGACAAUUCGUGUAUCGAAACAGACCGACAAUUUCUUGAUUACUAUUUGAGUAAAUGAAACUGUCUAUUGUCUAUUGAAUCUAUUUGUCCUUUUAUUCGUUCGAAUGCAGAUAAUUAUGUAAUGUUACGUAUACUGUAAUUAUGUGUAAAUAUCGCAGUAAAUCCACUGAAAGACCAUGAUUUCGGGGCAUGUGUCAAAAAUUUAACUUUAUCAUACGAAAGCAACAAAUUCGAAAAACCCAAUUGCGUCCAAUCGCUACAACGGUCAGGCUUAUUUACAGUCAGCAAGAAGAAACCGUUUAUUAAUCAUAGCCCCAUCGAGCUUUGCUAAAAAAAGCGAAUCGAUAAGACGUAACUUUCGGUUGGAGUGACUCUUGAGUUUUUCAUGCGAUUUCGUCCCUUGGGAACAGGUUCUGUGACGUCUAAUGGAUCGUUCCACGGCAUUUUUUCGUUCACGCCUCAACUCUGACUGCCCCAGGCGUUAGAUAAAGACAUUAGGAUGGCCACGAUCCCGAUUCGAUUCCCUUUUUCCCCGAGAAUUCGACGACUGGUCAACGACGACAUCGAAAUUUAUACGCAUCACUUCUCGCGGCGAUCGUUUCAAUUUCGAGCCACGAAAUUGGCCUGGAUUUCGAGAGAGAACCGAUCUCGUAGUUUACGAUAGAAGAUUUCCGAUUAUUUUCUAUUAACUUGGUCUCCCUAUCCUUUUAUUUUUAUAGAGGUUUUGUUAAUACGAUAGAACGUCCAUU